UUAUAGAUAUGGUUUAGAAUUGCACGAGAAAGAAGAAGUUGCAGAAGAAAUUGCACGGUUGAGGAGUGGGGUUAGUGCCUUAGCUGAGGCAAAGAAAAACUCAAAAGGGGCUGCAGCACAGCUUCUGGAAGCAAUCAGCAAGCUGGAAGCCAAUAUCAAUCGCAACCUGGAGAGGGCCGUGAAGGAAAAUGAUAGAGUUUAUCUCAUGAGGGUUCCUUCCCAAAGUUCCUUGCCUCUUCUUCCAGCGUUUUCAAUGGUGAAGCCAAUGUCAAUGAAUGAGGUACUAGAUGCAAGCAAGGAAAAGAUGUUUGCAAGUCUUGUUCCAGACAGUAGUGCAAAGGCUCUUUCAAGGUAUACUGAAAUGGUUGAUGACAUAAUCAGGAUACAAGCUGAGAAAUUACAGCAAGCCAGUGAACUGACUCGAGUGAGGCUCAAGGAAAUGGACCUUCCAGAUUCAAUUAUUGCUUUGGAAGGAAAUUUUACACUGCCAACAGAUCUUAAAGAAGAUGUGGAAGCAGUGCAGAUUAGUGGGGGCCCAGCUGGUUUGGAAGCUGAGUUGCAACAACUUAGAGAUUUGAGAAGGGAAUUGCUGGUCCAGACUGAGGAGCUUUUGCAGAAAGAAGCAACAGAAGAUGCUCAAUUUAGAAAUCAAUUUGGUACACGGUGGACUAGGCCUCAGUCCAGCACUUUGACAAAGAACUUGCAGGAUAGAUUAAAUAGAUUUGCAGCCAACCUAAAGCAAGCUGCAGACAGUGAUGGUAGAAUUGAGCGAUCUGUGAGGGAUCAUUCUACACUCAUGUCAAUCCUUGAUCGCCGACCGAUAGAAUCUGCUCUUCCAACUUUGGCUAGGCCAAUAAUGUCUUUGGAUGCCAAU
rnacentral:misc_RNA from 1 species